GACACAAUCGGCCACCUGGACAGAGCAUGUCAUCACCUGCUUCAAACUCUUCAAGGCCCAGCUCUGGCUGCCAGAGGAGGAGCUUGAGGCACAGAGCUCAGCGCCUUCGCAGCCGCAGUGGCUGGAUUGGAAUCCAGGCCUUGGGCACAGUCUCAUCUCCACUUUACGGAGGAGAAAGCCAAGGCUCACCGAGGGCAGGUCGGCGCCCCGGCACUGCUCACACCCAGCCGACUGCUUCCAGAACCUUCCAGCUGAAGCACCAGGCUCCAUCCGGGCCGGUGUGCUCCGUAACUAACUGAUGCGGGACUGACCGGAACGUUCAACCUAGGCUGUUGCUGCCGAGAGGAUUAAAUAUGGAAGUCGCUGCCGAGGCCCGGUGCUCAGGGGAACUCAGUGAGUCAGAUUUGCUCGAGAGAGAGGCUGCAGGCUGCUCCGUAAAUGCCCCGAGUUCCCGUGUCCUGAGUUAGCCCUGGGACCUCAAGUUCCGUCCAACAACACCCUCCCUGCUGAGAGAACGGCGUUUGCCUCGCUCGGUGGAUGUUUUGUCUGAGCCUAAGGUUGCACCAUGAGCACAGGGAGGUGAAGAUGAGAACACUACGGCACAGAGAGGUCAGUUCACCUGCUGAAGGUCACACAGCAGCAUCUGUGGAUGGGCCCAGAGAUGAGUGAGAUACUGUCUCCCACCCUUAAGGGGCAGGAAAGGCGAAAGGCGAAGACACAGCCUCACCCUCUCCAUAUUUCGGAUAAUGAAGUCCAGCCGGGAAUGGAGCGGCUGGCCGAGUUCCCACAGCCGGGAGGAAUUCCACCGCAGGGUCAGGCUGACUCCUUCCACACUCGGAGCAAGUGGAGAAACACCGCCAUGCGCCAGCACUCAGCGGGCCCUCGCGGGCAGGAAGCUCGGCCUGAGCCCUGGCUUCCCGAGGGAGGACCCAUCCCGUAAUAAAAUGUGUAAGGACAGCCGGCCGGCCAGUGCGGCUCACGAGCCAGGAGGUCACGGUUUGAUUCCUGGCCAGGGCACAUGCCCG